AAUAAUUAAAUUUAUAAUGAGAAAAGUUAAAAUUAUGUCAAAAUAGAGCAACACAUGCUUAAAGACCCGCGAGUGAAACAGAAACAUUAGCAAUAUUAGAAACUGCUUUAAACUAAAUGAUAAUGAAAAUAAAACUUAUCAAACUUUAUGGCAAACAGCUAAAGCAAAGCACAGAUGAAAAUGUAUACAGGCCGGGUGUGGAGGCUGACGCCUGUAAUCCCAGUGCUUUAGGAGGCCGAGGUGGGUGGAUCACCUGAGGUCAGGAGUUGGAGACCAGCCUGGCCAUCAUGGUGAAACCCCGUCUCUACCAAAAAUACAAAAAUUAGCCAGGCAUGGUGGUGUGUGCCUGUAAUCCCAGCUACUCAGGAGGCUGAAGCAGGAAAAUUACUUAAACCCAGGAGGUCGAGAUUGCAAUGAGCUGAGAUUGUGCCAGUGCACUCCAGCCUGGCCAACAGAGCGAGAUACUUUCUCAAAAAAAAAAAAAAAAAAAAAAAAAAAACAAAGAAAGAAAGAGAAAAAGAAACUAUAGGUACUUUUAAGUGCUCAUAUUUAAUGUGAAAAAUGUGUACAAUUAAUGAUCUAUGUUCCCGCAUUAUGAAGCUAGCACAAAAAAGGAGAAAAAUUAAAACAAAUUAUGUACACAGAAGGAAGUAAUAAAAAUAUGAGUUAAAUGUCAAUGACUUGAAAAACAGCAAAACAACAAAAUCAGUGAAAACAAAAUCUGGUUCUUUGAACAGAUCAGUAAAGUUAGUCUCAUCAGGAAAAAGGAAUGUGCAAAAAAUAUCAAGAUCUGAAAUUAAAAAUUACCAUCACUCCUGAUCAUAUAAUCAUUAAAAAGAUAAUAUAAUAUUAUAAACAUUAUAUUAAAAUCAGACAACAUGUAUAACAUGAAAUGUUUAAUUUAAGAAACAAUUAGCAAUAUUGACUCAAAAAGCAAAACAUCACCACAAACAAAAACAGUAACAAAAUAAAGACCCAGAUGACAUCAGUGGUGAAUAAAUUCCUGCAGACCUUUGAGAAGAAUAAUACCAACUGUAAAAUACACUUUCAAAAAAAAAAAAGAGAAAAAAAUCACUUUCCAGCUCCAGUAUUAACAAUGAAAAUAGAAAUUUUACUACAGACUCCAUAGGUUUUAAAAAGAUAAUAAGCAAAUAUGAAAAUAACUCUAGGUACAUAGAUUCAUCAACAUAAAUUAGAAAAAAAAUCAUCAAAACACAUAAACUACUAAAAUGUGUGCAAGAUGACAUAUCUUGAAUAGUUCUAUGACUAUUAAAUAAAUUUAAUUUGUAGUUUAAAGGCUACUAAUAGAGAAGUCUUCAAGACAGAAAGUUUUAUUGGUGAAUAUACUGGUUAUUUAAGAAGAAAUAACACCAAUUCUACACAAUCUCUUCUAGGAAAUAGAAUAGGAAGAAACACUUCCCAAAUAGCAUUGUCCUGACACCAAAUCCAAACACAACAUUGUCUUGAAAACAAAAGCAAACUAUAAACCAUAUUCCUCCUGAAUAGAGAAGAAAAUCUUUCAUGAAAUAUGAGCAAAUUGAAUCCAUUAAUGCAGAAAGAAUAAAUGGCACUAUGAUGAUAUCUAAGGUGUGCAAUGUUGUUUUUCUCUAAAAUCAAUGAUGUAAUUGUAAUUUUAAGAAAAAAAAGAAAUACAUCGUUAUGUUAAUACACAACUCACUUGGAAAAAUUCAAAACCUAUUCUUCAUAAAAAACUCUCAUCAAAUUAGAAAUAAAAUGGAACUUCCUAAAACUGAUAAAGGACAUCUAAUAAAUUUUAUGACUAAGGUAAUACUUAUUGGUGGUAUUCAACAUUGUCCUGGAGGACUUAGCCAUUUUAAUAAGGCUAUAAAAAAUAUAAGACAUAUGAUUGGAAAGGAAGAAGUAAAACUAUAAAGACACUUUCACCCUGCUGUCUGCAAAUGCAGAUUAUCUUAGCUCUAUUGUAGGGAAUCUAACAAAAAUUGAAAACUUCUAGAAUUUGUAAGUUACUACAACAAGGAGGUAUUAUACAAAGUCAAUACAGAAAAAUUAAUAAUAUUUAUGCAUAUGAUCAAGAACUAAAAGUUGAAUUUAAAAUACCACUUAAUUUAUCAGAGAAAUAUAAGCAAAAUAUUUUAAAAGAUGCUUCACUAAAAUGAAAAAAACAAAUAGCAAAAAUAAACAUAAAAUAUAAUAAAUCUCAAUAAUCAUGGAACUACCAUUUAAGACCUUUAUUAUAUUAUUACACACCUAUUAAUAUGCAAAAACAUAAGUUGUGGUAGUAUAAAAUGUUGGUGAAGAACUUAAAUAAUGGGAACACUCAUAGAGUAAUGGAGGAAAGUUAAUUAGAGAAACUACUUUGGAAAAACAUUUUAACAUGACCUAACAAAGCUAAAUAUACGCUUUUCAUCCCUCCAUAAAUGCCCUUAAAAAAAAAAAAAACCUGUAUAUAUGUCAGCAGACAUUUAAAAGGAUUUUUAGAAGAGCAUUGCUUAAAAUAGCCCAUAAUGAACAUCUUAAAUGUGAAAUAAAAUAAAAUAGAUAAAUAAAAUAUAGUCUAAUAAUACAAUUAUAACAAUUAAAAUGACUCAAUUAAACUACAGCUGCCAACAUAGAUUGGAUUUAUAUUGAUGAGGAAAAGAAAUGAGUAACAUGAGAAUGCACACAACUGACUGUAUUUAUAUGAGGCCC
rnacentral:lncRNA from 1 species